rnacentral:rRNA from 1 species
UAGUAUGGUGAGAUUGCAUGAUAACACCAUUAAAGAUUCAUCGGUAAACGAUGGGGAUGCGUUCCAUUAGGUAGUAGGCGGGGUAACGGCCCACCUAGCCUACGAUGGAUAGGGGUUCUGAGAGGAAGGUCCCCCACAUUGGAACUGAGACACGGUCCAAACUCCUACGGGAGGCAGCAGUGAGGAAUAUUGGUCAAUGGGCGAGAGCCUGAACCAGCCAAGUAGCGUGAAGGAUGAAGGUCCUACGGAUUGUAAACUUCUUUUAUAAGGGAAUAAAACGCUCCACGUGUGGAGCCUUGUAUGUACCUUAUGAAUAAGCAUCGGCUAACUCCGUGCCAGCAGCCGCGGUAAUACGGAGGAUGCGAGCGUUAUCCGGAUUUAUUGGGUUUAAAGGGAGCGCAGACGGGAUGUUAAGUCAGCUGUGAAAGUUUGCGGCUCAACCGUAAAAUUGCAGUUGAUACGGGCGUUCUUGAGUGCAGUUGAGGUGUGCGGAAUUCGUGGUGUAGCGGUGAAAUGCUUAGAUAUCACGAAAAGGUCCGAUUG